UACAGAGGUCCCAAGCGUUGUUCGGAUUCACUGGGCGUAAAGGGUGCGCAGGUGGCUUGGUAAGUUUGAUGUGAAAGCUCAGGGCUCAACCCUGAAAUGGCAUUGAAUACUGUCGGGCUUGAGGUUUGGAGGGGGGACUGGAAUUCUCGGUGUAGCAGUGAAAUGCGUAGAUAUCGAGAGGAACACCAGUGGCGAAGGCGAGUCCCUGGACAACACCUGACACUGAGGCACGAAAGCCAGGGGAGCAAACGGG
rnacentral:rRNA from 1 species